rnacentral:rRNA from 1 species
UACGUAGGGGGCUAGCGUUGUCCGGAUUUAUUGGGCGUAAAGAGCGUGUAGGCGGCCAUGUAGGUCCGGUGUGAAAACUCGAGGCUUAACCUCGAGAUGUCAUCGGAAACCAUUUGGCUAGAGUCCGGAAGAGGAGAGUGGAAUUCCGUGGUGUAGCGGUGAAAUGCGCAGAUAUCAGGAAGAACACCAAUGGCGAAAGCAGCUCUCUGGGACGGUACUGACGCUGAGACGCGAAAGCGUGGGGAGCGAACAGG